UGUGCAGAGCUCGCUCAAAGCGGCCGGACAGGAUCCGGGACCCGCGCGGCCUGGGCUAACGUGGUGCGCCGGGACCUAAAACCGCCCGCUCAAGGCGAGAUCGCCCCCGGCCGUUUCCUCCCUCAUUCUAGUUAGGGCCGGGCGGGGAGCGCUUCCCAAGGGGCUCUUUGCGGCGUGCUCACUGCUCCGACCGCUUCCCCGUCUUCGAAGGGCCGGGGACACAUGGCGUCAGCAUUUCGGGGGAGUGAGAAGCAAGCAAGGAGAGCCGGGAAUGGAGCGCUCCGUGACUGAGAGCCCAUUUUCCCGGCUAUUCCCUCAAGCAACGUUUGCUGCACUGCACCCCCUCCCCUCCUUAGAAUCCCAGCCUCCUGCUGCAGUUUCCGAUCCUCCGCCGGAUUCUGCCCCUACGCCGCCGCCGCCGCCGCCGCCGCCAUCCGCGCGCGCAGGCGCAGACACCCCCUUUUCUGGGGCCCAGCUUGCUUUCUCAGAACUUCCCGGUACAUCAGUGUAACUAAAAGGCUGUGUAUCCCCAGCCUAGAGACACUCGUCUGAGACGGUUUGGUGAGGUUAAAAUUUAUCAUGUGACAUUGAGACCGGCUGCUGAGAACCUUGUACACCUCAGUUCAUGGUGUUGACCUGGUGUGUUAGUACUGUACCCUGUACCCACUCCUCAGAAAGGAGGCGCUGGAAUCGAAGAAGGAUACGCCGAGAUAACCUUUUAGUGCAAAGGUCCUCAGCCUUGACUGUAUUAUUGCUAUUACUCCUGGGUGCAGCCCCAGCAAAAGAAUUUUUUAAAGCUCCUGUGUAAUUCUAACGCUAGGGUUGAGAGCCACUGCUUUAACCCCUAGGCAGGUAGGUGGGGCUUGGGGUGGCCCUAAACACUGAGUCAGUCACCUCCAUCUGGGGCAGCCUUUAUCCCAGUGCGCUGCUCAAAUUUUCUGUGUUCCAUGCUGUGAAAACAGGAGCAGUGCCCUACAGAAACGAGCAUGUCUGACAGCCUUGUGUAAGAUAAUUGGAAAAGAGGGGAAACAAACCGAACAAAGCCAACUAUUAAUAUAAUAGAAAACAUACAAUAACCUAGGGAUGAGGUAAGGAAAGCCUGGGCAAGACUAGUGACAGGGAAUAUAGAGGGGGACAGCUAUGAUAGUCACAGGAAGAAUGCUGGGAUGUGGUGGCCAACUAGAUCGCAGUUUUUGGCAAGCUGUGGCAUUUUUAAUGUCACAAGAACUGAUUCCGCUAACAUGUCCUUCCUGACUCCCAGAGGAGAGUUGCCAGAAUUGCUAUGGUCUUUCUAGAAUCCUCAAGACCACGAAUGGCCCAGGGUCUGGACCAGUCUCAGGAGCUAGCAGACAGAACAGCAGUGCGUUCAUCCUGUUACAAGAGCUUCUGCUUUAUGGGGGCCAGAGGACGUUUAUACACAGCAGCAGCUGCACUCCCGGAAAUGAUUCCCACACAAAAAAUUCAACAGGGAAAAUAAUAAGUUCUGUGCAUUGCCAUGAAGAUGCUCAUUACAGCAUUAUCUGUACUAAUUACACAUUUCAAAAGUAAAGGAAAUGAAUAAAAUAUAUUUUAAAGAUAA